rnacentral:lncRNA from 1 species
GCAUCCCCGGCCCCAUCGGAGCGGAACUCCGUGAGCCUUUCUACCUCGCGAGUGCCCGGGAGUGCGUCUUGCUGUCUGACUUAAAUCCUCGCUGCUUUAGAGCACGCCCCUUCGGCAGCCAGGGUGGGGCCCAAACCGAACCUGGCCCUCCCGCCCCCAUCUGCCUUUCGGUCGCUGCACACAGGGCCAGAAGAGGCAGACAGGCCUCCCUCGAUGUCCAGCCAUGAUGCAGCCCCCUCAGGACCUCCCAGUCGAAAUCCCUGCUGCUUGUGCUGGUGCUGCUGCUGUAGCUGUUCCUGGAACCAAGAACGGCAACGAGCUUGGCAGGUUUCCCGGGAAAGCAAGCUGCAACCCCUCCCCAGCUGUGAAGUCUGCACUCCACCAAGCCCUGAGGAAGUACAGAGCUGGGCACAGUCCUUUGACAAGUUGAUGCAUAGCCCCACGGGCCGCAGUGUAUUCCGGGCAUUCCUGCGCACAGAAUACAGUGAGGAGAACAUGCUCUUCUGGCUGGCUUGUGAGGAGUUGAAAACAGAGGCUGACCGACAUGUGGUACAUGGUGCCUCAGACCACCACCCUCCAGUCGUGUGCCCAGGAGAUGUUCUCAUGGAGAACAUCCUGUAUAGCAACAAGUUUGUAGCAGGAGAACGUUAAUUCCUCAGAAGCAGAUAUAGAACCUCAGAGUCAGACUCAAAUGAAGAGCCCAUUUAUAUUUUAUAUAUUAACUUUAAAGUUGUCCAUACUGUAUGUUUUAUCAAAAGAAAAAAAGAGACCUUUC